rnacentral:rRNA from 2 species
ACACGUUGAACGCAUAUUGCACAUCGUACUACCAGUACGAUGUACACAUUUUUGAGUGCCUAUAU